rnacentral:rRNA from 2 species
ACGAACGCUGGCGGCGUGCUUAACACAUGCAAGUCGAACGAUGAACUGGAGCUUGCUCCAGGGAUUAGUGGCGAACGGGUGAGUAACACGUGAGUAACCUGCCCUUGACUCUGGGAUAAGCGCUAGAAAUGGCGUCUAAUACCGGAUACGAGCUUCAGCCGCAUGGCUAGGAGUUGGAAAGAAUUUUGGUCAAGGAUGGACUCGCGGCCUAUCAGCUAGUUGGUGAGGUAAUGGCUCACCAAGGCGACGACGGGUAGCCG